ACGAGAACUGCUUGGAAAAUAAGACACGCCGUAUCAAGGCGCGCGAUCGUUGUGGUGCUACUUUCAAUAUGGCUGACGACAAAGAAUUCAUCAUCAUGGGAAAAGACUCCGGGUAUAUUGAAGAAGAUGAAUGCAAGGAGAAACAGUACUUUUAUUUGAUCGACAGCAGUUCCCUGGUUUUCCCUGCAACACAUCAAAGCAGCAAGAGACGGAGGCUCGUGACUUGGUUCAUCAACGAGUUCUCCGACAAACCGGCGUGCUCCUUUUCAUGAGCCUUCUCCUGUGCAAUAUGCACAGCACCUUGAUCAUGCAGCUUUAUAAAUUUGAGUGCUGUAGAGAAA